rnacentral:rRNA from 1 species
GACGAACGCUGGCGGCGUGCUUAACACAUGCAAGUCGAACGGAAAGGCCCUGCUUUUGUGGGGUGCUCGAGUGGCGAACGGGUGAGUAACACGUGAGUAACCUUCCCUUUACUUUUGGAUAACUUCAGGAAACUGGGGCUAAUACCGGAUAGGAGCUUCUGCUGCCUGGUUGGGGUUGGAAAGUUUCGGCGGUUGGGGAUGGACUCGCGGCUUAUCAGCUUGUUGGUGGGGUAGUGGCUUACCAAGGCUUUGACGGGUAGCCGGCCUGAGAGGGUGACCGGCGACAAUGGGACUGAGAGACGGCGCAGACGCGUACGGGAGGCAGCAGGGGGGAGUAUUGCACAGUGGGGGGAAGCCAGAGGCAGAGGCGCCGGGUGCGGGAUGACGGCCUUCGGGUGGUAAACAGCUGUCGCCUGUGACGAAGCGUGAGUGACGGUAAUGGGUAAAGAAGCACCGGCUAACUACGUG